CUAUUUGCCCCGGUCACGAUAAUGGUUUUGCCCCGCAGCAUAUCGACGCCUUCAUCCAAAUGUUUAGAAUGGGGAAUUGCUUGACUGCUGAUCCUUCUGGGGCCAUCGACAACAUCCAGUUCACGAGCAGGGCACAUGAGCAGCGAUUGUACCCAGCUCCUGGGCACCUUCUAUGUGGAACAUCUGAUCAUCAAAGAAGAUGUGAGGCCUGAUCUUUUGUAAGAGAGGCCCCUUUGGAGCCCCAGCCAAAAAGAGGGCCUCAUCUACCUCCAACCCCCAGCUUCGUAGGGUCUUCAGAACACGGGCCCCAGCGCUGGCGGCACUUCGUGCUGUGACUAGACCAAUAGCCUUACCAUUGGCAAAGAUGUCCCCUCUUUGGUACACUCAUUUUGGAAGAAACCCUCUAGACCUUUCUCUUUGUAGACUCUCUCUGACUCAUCUGAAAACAGGACUCCAUCACCAUCAAAGGCC